CUACAGGAUACAUAGAUUUGUCCAAACGAAGAGUGUCUCCGGAAGAAGCCAUCAAGUGUGAAGAUAAAUUCACCAAAUCUAAAACCGUGUACAGUAUUCUACGGCAUGUCGCUGAAGUGUUGGAGUAUACUAAAGACGAGCAGUUGGAGAGUUUAUUCCAGCGCACCGCAUGGGUGUUUGACGAGAAAUACAAGAAACCUGGAUAUGGAGCCUA